rnacentral:ribozyme from 14 species
GAAUAAAGUGGGAAGGGGAAGAGGGGCGGGUAUUCUUUUUUUCUUUUACCUUUUUUUUUUUUUUUUGGUUGUUGGACUUGGUUUGUGUGUUUGUGUUUUGGUUGAUUUUCAGAGGGAAAGGAA